UACGAAGGGGGCUAGCGUUGUUCGGAUUUACUGGGCGUAAAGCGCACGUAGGCGGAUCGUUAAGUCGGGGGUGAAAUCCCGGGGCUCAACCCCGGAACUGCCUUCGAUACUGGCGAUCUCGAGUCCGGAAGAGGUGAGUGGAACUCCCUAGUGUAGAGGUGGAAUUCGUAGAUAUUAGGAAGAACACCAGUGGCGAAGGCGGCGAUCUGGGAAGAUACUGACGCUGAGGUGGCGAAAGCGUGGGGAGCAACAGG
rnacentral:rRNA from 1 species